AUUGAACGCUGGCGGCAGGCUUAACACAUGCAAGUCGAGCGAGCGGCGGACGGGUGAGUAAUGUCUGGGAAACUGCCUGAUGGAGGGGGAUAACUACUGGAAACGGUCGCUAAUACCGCAUACCAUCAGAUGUGCCCAGAUGGGAUUAGCUAGUAGGUGGGGUAAUGGCUCACCUAGGCGACGAUCCCUAGCUGGUCGGAGAGGAUGACCAGCAAAAUUGGAACGGAGACACGGUCCAGACUCCAACGGGAGCAAGCAGUGGGGAAUAUUGCACAAUGGGCGCAAGCCGAAUGAAGACAUGCCGCGUGGGUAAAGAAGGCCUUCGGGUUGUAAAGCACUUUCAGCGAGGAGGCGUUACUCGCAGAAGAAGCAACGGCUAACUCCGUGCCAGCAGCCGCGGUAAUAC
rnacentral:rRNA from 1 species